rnacentral:rRNA from 1 species
AUCCCGAAUUCAGGAGAUUUAGGGCUUUUUUUGUCAUAAAAAUUGAUAAUAGGAAGUGAAAUGCUAAUAUAUCUGGUUUCUUAAGAGAAUUAAAUUCUAUUGUAUCUAUAGGGAUAAGCUUUUAGUAUAAUUGAAAGUUUUGUUAUAAUUUAUUUAUUAAGAUGUAGGACGUAAUUUUUUUAGUAAUUUUGAUAGAAUUAGUAUAAGUUUUCCUAAAGGAAUUCGGCAAAGAUUUUCCACCUGUUUAAUAAAAACAUGUCCUUUUGAUUAUUAUUUAAGGUCUCGCCUGCCCACUGAGGCUGCGGUAUACUGACCGUGCUAAGGUAGCAUAAUCAUUAGUUUUUUAAUUGAGAGCUGGAAUGAAUGGUUGGAUGAGAAAAUAACUGUCUCUUUGAGAUAGAAUUUUAUUUUUAAGUAAAAAAGCUUAAAUUUUAUUAAAAGACGAGAAGACCCUAUAGAGUUUAAUUUUGAUUGGGGCGAUUGAAAAAUUAAUGAAACUUUUGAUUAGAAGAUAAAAUUACCUUAGGGAUAACAGCGUAAUUUUCUUUAGAGUUCAAAUCGAUAAGAAAGAUUGCGACCUCGAUGUUGGAUUAAAAUAAAUGUCGGUGUAGGAGCU